AUUGAACGCUGGCGGAAUGCUUUACACAUGCAAGUCGAACGGCAGCACGGGUGCUUGCACCUGGUGGCGAGUGGCGAACGGGUGAGUAAUACAUCGGAACGUACCCAGUCGUGGGGGAUAACUAACCGAAAGGUUAGCUAAUACCGCAUACGCCCUGAGGGGGCAAGCGGGGGACCGUAAGGCCUCGCGCGAUUGGAGCGGCCGAUGUCGGAUUAGCUAGUUGGUGAGGUAAAGGCUCACCAAGGCGACGAUCAGUAGCUGGUCUGAGAGGAUGAUCAGCCACACUGGAACUGAGACACGGUCCAGACUCCUACGGGAGGCAGCAGUGGGGAAUUUUGGACAAUGGGGGAAACCCUGAUCCAGCCAUUCCGCGUGAGUGAAGAAGGCCUUCGGGUUGUAAAGCUCUUUCGGCAGGGAAGAAACGCUCUGGGUUAAUAACCCGGGGUAAUGACGGUACCUGAAGAAGAAGCACCGGCUAACUACGUGCCAGCCGCCGCAGUAA
rnacentral:rRNA from 1 species